rnacentral:lncRNA from 1 species
AGCCGUUCCCUUUCUCAUACGCUCUUUAUCAACACAGUACAGUUUCCUGUACCCAUCAGUGAUGGGGAAGUGAUACAGCUGACAUUAUUACACGUGAGUAACCCAAAGUUAUCUUGUCUUAAUCUCCCGGGUCAUACUCUCUAACAUCGUUCAUAUUUUAAAUGAUUUGCAGGUUGUUGUUCUUUUAGAGAUCUAUUUUAUUUUCUUGCUCAGUUCCUGUUAAUCUGCUUAUCUCCAAUUUGCCGAAGACUUUGCUCUUUUUUCUUUUUCUUUCUUUCUUUCUUUUUUUUUUGCUCUUCGAGUCUGAGGACUUGACAAAUGCAAUGUUGGGGCAAUAGAGGAGAGACAGGCCUUAGGAUGUACUGUAUAAAUCACCAAAAUGUGAUGUACUCUACCUUCUCAGCAUAAACUGGAAAUUGAAAAAAAAAAAAUGCUGCAAAUAGAAUUGCUUCCUUUGGGCUUAAACCAGAUUGGCAGCAACAUAGAUUCUGCUGUGAGUUGAAGUCACUUUCUACUUUGGCACGACUUGGUCCAUGGGGAUGGUGGAGUCAUGAUUUAGCAGCAAGACUCUGGGAGCAGGCCAGCAUCCACAUCUGUUCUGAACUUAUGAUAUCCCCAUCACUUCUUCUGUGGGGUAGAUGGAAACACAGUCUUUCUUCUUCCUUCACUUUCCAAGGGACUUCUUUGGCUGAGAGAGGAAAUGAAAAGAUGUAACAUCGAAGAGAGCGGAGUAUUCUACGGAAGCAGGUGUGAGGCACUACCCAAGCAAAGACAAGAAUGAGGAGCCAGAGAAUUGAGAAGGAAGGCUGGAAUGGUGAGUGUUUUUAAGAGGAGGAUCGAAGAAGUUAGAGCAGCUGUCUUGGGGAAAAGGAAAGGAAAGGUUGGUGUUUGCUAAGGAAGAUGUUUAUGAUGAUUUGCUCUGUAUCGUGCAAUUAAAUUCAAUUUUUUGCUGCCUCUUCAAGAGACCCAGAGGUAAGAUCUACAUAACUCUUCAUUUGUCUUUGGAGCAGAAUUGCCUUCCUUCCUUAUAGACAUGACAACAUGAGAUACCUGCACAUGACAUGGUCCCGUUUUUUUUAGGUUCGAUUUAAAAGCUAGGGAGAGCUACGUCAAUUGCAGGCAUCACUCAUAAUGUUAUUUGAAAACAGAAAAACAGACCCUUUCUUAUGUAUCAGCUUCUCCUCAUAGAUUUUCUUUAAUAUUUUGAACAAUUCCUCGGAUAUAGAUUUUCCCCCCAUCUAACAUUAUGCCUUUGAAAAGCUGGGCAAUCUUAUGUUGAGACGCUGCAGGUCUGCUUUUAGGA